GGCCAGACUCCUACGGGAGGCAGCAGUGGGGAAUAUUGCACAAUGGGGGAAACCCUGAUGCAGCGACGCCGCGUGAGUGAAGAAAUAAUUCGUUAUGUAAAGCUCUAUCAGCAGGGAAGAAAAUGACGGUACCUGAGUAAGAAGCCCCGGCUAACUACGUGCCAGCAGCCGCGGUAAUACGUAGGGGGCAAGCGUUAUCCGGAUUUACUGGGUGUAAAGGGGGCGCAGACGGCGAUGCAAGCCAGGAGUGAAAGCCCGGGGCCCAACCCCGGGACUGCUCUUGGAACUGCGUGGCUGGAGUGCAGGAGGGGCAGGCGGAAUUCCUGGUGUAGCGGUGAAAUGCGUAGAUAUCAGGAGGAACACCGGUGGCGAAGGCGGCCUGCUGGACUGCAACUGACGUUGAGGCCCGAAAGCGUGGGGAGCAAACAGGAUUAGAUACCCUAGUAA
rnacentral:rRNA from 1 species